AAAUUGAAGAGUUUGAUCAUGGCUCAGAUUGAACGCUGGCGGCAGGCCUAACACAUGCAAGUCGAGCGGUAGCACAGAGAGCUUGCUCUCGGGUGACGAGCGGCGGACGGGUGAGUAAUGUCUGGGAAACUGCCUGAUGGAGGGGGAUAACUACUGGAAACGGUAGCUAAUACCGCAUAACGUCGCAAGACCAAAGUGGGGGACCUUCGGGCCUCAUGCCAUCAGAUGUGCCCAGAUGGGAUUAGCUGGUAGGUGGGGUAACGGCUCACCUAGGCGACGAUCCCUAGCUGGUCUGAGAGGAUGACCAGCCACACUGGAACUGAGACACGGUCCAGACUCCUACGGGAGGCAGCAGUGGGGAAUAUUGCACAAUGGGCGCAAGCCUGAUGCAGCCAUGCCGCGUGUGUGAAGAAGGCCUUCGGGUUGUAAAGCACUUUCAGCGGGGAGGAAGGCGGUGAGGUUAAUAACCUCACCGAUUGACGUUACCCGCAGAAGAAGCACCGGCUAACUCCGUGCCAGCAGCCGCGGUAAUACGGAGGGUGCAAGCGUUAAUCGGAAUUACUGGGCGUAAAGCGCACGCAGGCGGUCUGUCAAGUCGGAUGUGAAAUCCCCGGGCUCAACCUGGGAACUGCAUUCGAAACUGGCAGGCUAGAGUCUUGUAGAGGGGGGUAGAAUUCCAGGUGUAGCGGUGAAAUGCGUAGAGAUCUGGAGGAAUACCGGUGGCGAAGGCGGCCCCCUGGACAAAGACUGACGCUCAGGUGCGAAAGCGUGGGGAGCAAACAGGAUUAGAUACCCUGGUAGUCCACGCUGUAAACGAUGUCGAUUUGGAGGUUGUGCCCUUGAGGCGUGGCUUCCGGAGCUAACGCGUUAAAUCGACCGCCUGGGGAGUACGGCCGCAAGGUUAAAACUCAAAUGAAUUGACGGGGGCCCGCACAAGCGGUGGAGCAUGUGGUUUAAUUCGAUGCAACGCGAAGAACCUUACCUGGUCUUGACAUCCACAGAACUUAGCAGAGAUGCUUUGGUGCCUUCGGGAACUGUGAGACAGGUGCUGCAUGGCUGUCGUCAGCUCGUGUUGUGAAAUGUUGGGUUAAGUCCCGCAACGAGCGCAACCCUUAUCCUUUGUUGCCAGCGGUUAGGCCGGGAACUCAAAGGAGACUGCCAGUGAUAAACUGGAGGAAGGUGGGGAUGACGUCAAGUCAUCAUGGCCCUUACGACCAGGGCUACACACGUGCUACAAUGGCAUAUACAAAGAGAAGCGACCUCGCGAGAGCAAGCGGACCUCAUAAAGUAUGUCGUAGUCCGGAUUGGAGUCUGCAACUCGACUCCAUGAAGUCGGAAUCGCUAGUAAUCGUAGAUCAGAAUGCUACGGUGAAUACGUUCCCGGGCCUUGUACACACCGCCCGUCACACCAUGGGAGUGGGUUGCAAAAGAAGUAGGUAGCUUAACCUUCGGGAGGGCGCUUACCACUUUGUGAUUCAUGACUGGGGUGAAGUCGUAACAAGGUAACCGUAGGGGAACCUGCGGUUGGAUCACCUCCUUA
rnacentral:rRNA from 1 species